AACGAACGCUGGCGGCAUGCCUAACACAUGCAAGUCGAACGAGACCUUCGGGUCUAGUGGCGCACGGGUGCGUAACGCGUGGGAACCUGCCCUUAGGUUCGGAAUAACUCCCCGAAAGGGGUGCUAAUACCGGAUAAUGUCUUCGGACCAAAGAUUUAUCGCCUUUGGAUGGGCCCGCGUUGGUUUAGCUAGUUGGUAGGGUAAAAGCCUACCAAGGCGACGAUCCAUAGCUGGUCUGAGAGGAUGAUCAGCCACACUGGGACUGAGACACGGCCCAGACUCCUACGGGAGGCAGCAGUGGGGAAUAUUGGACAAUGGGCGAAAGCCUGAUCCAGCAAUGCCGCGUGAGUGAUGAAGGCCUUAGGGUUGUAAAGCUCUUUUACCCGGGAUGAUAAUGACAGUACCGGGAGAAUAAGCGCCGGCUAACUCCGUG
rnacentral:rRNA from 1 species